rnacentral:ncRNA from 1 species
UCUCGACAAAGGCAAAACUGGUGAAAACCAGUGACGCAAAGCUAUAGGGGCUUCUGUGCAUAUGCACAAUGCCAGCCAGCUACCGAA